rnacentral:rRNA from 1 species
GACGAACGCUGGCGGCGUGCCUAAUACAUGCAAGUUGAGCGCUGAAGGUUGGUACUUGUACCAACUGGAUGAGCAGCGAACGGGUGAGUAACGCGUGGGGAAUCUGCCUUUGAGCGGGGGACAACAUUUGGAAACGAAUGCUAAUACCGCAUAAAAACUUUAAACACAAGUUUUAAGUUUGAAAGAUGCAAUUGCAUCACUCAAAGAUGAUCCCGCGUUGUAUUAGCUAGUUGGUGAGGUAAAGGCUCACCAAGGCGAUGAUACAUAGCCGACCUGAGAGGGUGAUCGGCCACAUUGGGACUGAGACACGGCCCAAACUCCUACGGGAGGCAGCAGUAGGGAAUCUUCGGCAAUGGACGAAAGUCUGACCGAGCAACGCCGCGUGAGUGAAGGAGGUUUUCGGAUCGUAAAACUCUGUUGGUAGAGAAGAACGUUGGUGAGAGUGGAAAGCUCAUCAAGUGACGGUAACUACACAGAAAGCGACGGCUAACUACGUG